UCUGAGCAUGGAGAAUCUGCGCUCCUGGCUGAACCGCUCUGCCAAAGCCCAGGGGUGCUGCUCCCCGAUUCUGACGGUUCUAAUGAGACUCGGAGUGGGGACGACAAAAGGGCACAGAGCUUCCAGAGCAACAAGCUGGCUAACGAGCUGUUGACACAGCACUUAGACUUAUUAAGAGACAUCAGAGCAACACCAACAAACACGUCUCCCUGGGGAGAAACCAAACACAGACCCUGUGGCCAGUGACAGGUCCGUGUCCACAGACAGGGACCACCAAGCAAGAAUUUAGGGCCUGAAGAGUCUUCAGCAUUGAAAAUCUUUCCUCAGCCUCCCUUGGUAGAUCUCUGAGCUCCACCCGGAGCAGUGCCGAACUCCUGGUGCUAAGCCCCUGGGACGGCACCUGUGAUGCCACGCCUUUCCUCUGAUCGCCAGCGUGACAAUAACAGGGACCUGUAAUACCCAGUGCUGCUGUCGUCGGCGUGCUGUGCGUGUCACGCCUGCACAGCUGAGCAUCGUCACCAGGGAGAAAUCCGUGCCCUGCCAACCCCGGCCCCUCUCCCCAUCCUUCCUGCCCUUCUGUUCUCUCUCCAGGACUCUGACACUGCUCUGACGCUAUCGUUCCCUGUAGAGUUAGGUUCACUGGAGGAGCCACUUGGCAUUCUGGUCACUAUGGGACGUUUUCCUCUCUGAAAGCAACAGGAAGGUUUCAGAGAAUUCAGCAUUUAAUAACUAAAACAUAGUUUCCAUUAGAAACCUCUACUUUUACCAAAAUGAUUUAAAUCAGUUGCUUCAACAGAACAGAGUCCUGUCAAUCCCUGCAACCCUGUGGUGAGUGCUGAGGGCGGGUGCCCACUGCCGAGGCCCGGAGGAGCCGGUGGAGCCACCUGUCCAGAUGCCAGGCCUGCGGAUGCCACUCUCCUGCCCCCGCUCAGUCGGAAGGACUUAGCGACUGUAAACGUGUGCACACGGACUCGCCCUCGAGUAUUACAUGCACGAUCCCAGCACCAGAGAGCCAGGCUAAAAUUUUGGGGGUUUCCUUCUGGACUGUUCCCCUUGAUACACCUGGCAACGGAGUGCACAGACGGGGAGGGAGGCUCCGGCCCCAUGUGAGGAGGGAGCUUCUUUUAUACAGAAAGGUCUGGGCUUUGUCCUCUUGUUGACUCACCUGCGUCCCUGGCCCCAAGAAGCCUGUCACAAAAGUGAAGACAGAACCACCCUGGGUGUGAACUGGCCUUUCUCACUCUUGCCGCCAUUGGCUACUGGCCACAUUGAUUUAGGCAUAAAUUUACAUGUUUACACCAAGAAGACUGAUUUAGAUCCACAGGAGAAAGAAAACAAGUAGUCCAACUCUUCAAGGAUGCCAAGCUUCUAAUCCACGGGCCACAGAGCCCUGAUGGGGCUUUAUGGGCUCCUCCUUUACCUUCAAAAGACACAAGGUGUCUGAAACAAAUGGAGCCAGCCCAAAGCCGAGGUGGGCUGGGCAAGGUCACAUGACAAGAGCCGCCAGGAAUUCGUGGCAUCCCGGGAGCCGCCACAGCUGGACGCUGAUGGAGACCUGAAUGGGCGCCGCGGUGAAGUCUUGCUCCUUCUCGCCGGCCUGGAACUGGACCAGCACCUGGUGGAGCUGAGGAGGGAGGCCAGACGUGAGCCCCGCCCUGCCCGCUGUCUCCGUCCCUCAGCCCACUGUCUGACCCGAGUUACUCAUGUCACCUGUCAUUGUCAUUGCUAACGACCCUCUCGCGCAUAUAGGAUUUGAGAUUGUUUUCAAGGUGCCUUCGUACCUAGUGUCCUACUGUCCUGUCUGUGGGAAGCUCGUGGGACACUGGGACAAGAGGCCUUGUGGCCUCCUGGGGUGGGGAUGGCACGGUCAGGCUUCUGCCUCCAGCCUCGCAUCAGGGCUUGGGGAGUGGAAGGGGGUGUGUUAGGGGACUGGUCUCCUCCCUCUGGUUUUACUUAUGUAAGUCAUGUUUAAGAUCUUGAAAUAAAUGGCGACGCGGAACCAA